AUUCUGUGUCUCUCUCUCUGCUCCUUCCCUGCUCAUGCUCUGUCUCUGUCUCUCAAAAUAAAUAACUAAACAUUAAAAAAAAAAUUAAUAAAAAAAAAAAGAAAUCUAGGAUACAUGCACAACCCUGUGAGAAGACUUUUUGGAGGCCAUCCCAGGACUUCUGUUCACACUGUGAACACAUCCCAGAGCCCUCUGACUCCAGAAUUGGCUAAAAUACGGCUCUUCCUUUCUCCUCUUAGAAGUCUCCAGCAAACCUGACCUCAGAGGAAUCCCACACGCGCUCUGUCCCCCUGACAGGCCCUGCCGCUGAGUCGCCGGAUGUCCGCUGAGGUCCAAGUGCACCACAUUCGACACCAGCAAAGAGGGGGAAACGGCCACCUUCUUGCCCACCGCCCACCCCCUCCGUCUCCGGGCCUCGCACAAACAUGACCCCAUCUCGAGAACAAGACUGGCUCUUUUCUUUGUCACAAGGGCCUCAGUGCCCAGUGGGAGCCUGAUUAAACCCAACCCCCUCCUGCGAGAUCAUCCUGCUUCUUCAAACCCCACACAUCUCAGGGUCAGCCUUCCCGUCCACCGGCAGGCUGACCCCACCGUUCUCCAGGAGAAAAAAAGGCUUUCUCACUGUGGUCAAAUCUAGGAUUCGGGAAGUCUCCUCCCCGUGCUAUCUCAACCACACACAAGCUGUGCUGAGACCAGGCAGCUCAGAUGGUGGGGAGUGGGGGUGACAGGGACUGACGUCAGCCCUGUUGACCCUGUGUGUCCUGCCCUGGCAAAGACAGAUUGGAGAGAGGCCAUUUUGGAGCCACUCGCUCAUCAAGGAGAGGGAGGUGACUCUUGCCCUGUCUUCUUCCCCAAAAACACAGUCCUUCCUUUGAGCUCUCCAGAGGCUGGCCUCCCACCGGGAACGUCACUGGACACACGGCCCUUGGGAUCCCCAGUCCCUGUGACGACCCCGGAGGCCUGGCUUAGUGCUGACGCCUCUCCUACAGAACAGAGGUUCUCACCUGGAGGUUUUCCCAGGUCUGGGAACCUGCUGUCCUACCCGGGAGAGAGGAGGAGGACAGUUUGCCGCUCCCCGUCCAUAUCCUGCCAUGGGACAGAGCUAGGCCUGGGCUCAAGGACAGGCCGACCAGACAGUGACCUGUGUUUUCUGGGAAGGCAGCCAGUCCUCAUGGCCUUGGACUUCCAGGCACUGAGGAGAGUGACAGAGCGGACACCUGCCACCAUCCUGGGGAGGCUCAAACCAGGCCCCAGCUGGGCGGGCAUGUCUGGCUCUGGUCUCCGGGCCAGGACAUUGCAGCAAAGAGGGGACCACUAGACUCAGCCCUUUCCCUUGGCCUCUGCUUCAUGGACUCAACAGUGCUGCAUGAAGGGGACGAAGGGCAUGACCCGAGGCCUCACAUUUGUCCCCGGUGUGCCAGAGAACAAACACAGGAUUCAAAUCUUUGGUUGUUUCAUUAGGAGAAAGUCUUAUCGCCCCUGCACGCAAGAGAGCUGUUUGAGGACAUGGGAAAAACAUUUGAUUUGGCCUCAAAAACCCCCGGUUCUAUUCCUGGGUAGUGUUGCCAUCUACCCAGGGCCGUGGUCACGUCAUCUCAAUCCCCUGAGCCUCAGUUUCCUCAGCUGUACCAUGGGGCAGGAACCCAGUUCCUCGGUUGCUCUACUCUGGAGAGUGUAAGAUGCCUGUAAAAGCGCCCAAGGCACUACACUCAUAACGAGGGCUUCUUGUUGUUAGUAAAAUGUUAUUAACCUGGUUUAGUAUUUCCGUUUUCCGCACGAGGGGAAAUGCAGAACAGGGAGAACGUAAGCUCUUAGCCAGCAACGGAGCCAUCUACUCAGAGCCCCAGGAGCACCCAUUCCAGGGACCUUGUGGCUAACAGAGUGGGGUGCUCGCCAGCCUGAGGCCAGGAGAUGGGAACCCCACUUCUCAUUUGAUAGAAGGGCCCUCCUGCCUCUCAGAGGAUGCGAGGGACUGUCAGCCCCCUCUCUCCAGCUACUCAGUUCACACCUGGGAGCCACACUUCUAGAAAAGGGAAUGGGGCUUGGAGAGCCGGUGAAAGGGGUCAAAACCAGGUUGUAGGAGAGCCAGCUGAAGAGGCCGAAGCAGUUCAACCCCUAUCAAGAGAUCUACCUCCCGAAGCGCAGAGCAGUUCCAGGAAAGGGGGGAUUGGACCUUGUCUGACCCCAAAGAGCCCCAAGGUGAACACUUAGAGGGUAGAUUUUGACUGCACUAAGAAAGAACUUUCUAAAAGCUGAGCCAACCCCCAAGGAAUAGCCGAGGUCCUGGGCGGUGAGCGUCUGACGGCUGGAGGUAUUCUGCGCUCAGAUUGGACAGACGUGGUGGUGGGAGACCAUUGUAUAAGGUAGAUCAUGAGCGAAGGGCAUCAGGGAUCUUCCCCACUUCCUGAGGAUCCCAGGAUUCCCUGGUCACCACCGCUGUGGGCUUCUCCCUGGCAUUCAUUAGCCCGCACUGCCGAGGAGGGCUAUUCAGAACAGCAGUGCUUGGCCAGAGGUGUUGCUGGUACCUUCCGAAGCACUACACAUAUUGUACAUAUUAUCCGAAUGCAGGAGGGGCCCGCAUCUAUCAGGACAGGCAGUUUAAUGGGUUAUAAACCGUUCUGUUUACACACACAAAAAAGUGCAUCUCUCUCCCCCCCGCUGUGUAAAUAGAGCCCACAGAGGCUCCACGACUUGCUGCCAUGAAGUAUGUGGCCGUCCCCCUGCCAGGAAAAACAAGUCCGCGCACGAAAAUAACCCACCCUGUAGCGUAGCAGGCCAGCGGUUCAGGGCUGGGUGGUCCCCUGGCCGCCACACAUGAAUUUGGUGCUUGGUAUCCACCGGCCAAAAUCCACACUGCAGUCACCCUGAGUCAGGCGGGAGGCAGGUGCUGGGCGGUGGCCCAUUUCUAGGGAGACUAUUGGUGAUUCUUGAGCUGGAACUCCUGUGGCCGUCAUGGAGCUCCCCGUCAGCCAGCCACCCCAUGAGUCCAGAAGCCCGGCCAGCUGUCGAGCAGCUGUUGGUGUGCACAACACCAGCGACCGAGAGUCACGUGGUUGGGGAGCAGUCAUCAUCUUAAAAGGAGGCCCUUUUAAGCACAGACCCUCCGGAAAGUACAACUCUUAAUGGAAGCUUGCCGGGCCAAUUAACCAACAGAGCAGAGGACAUCUUAUCCUGUUUUCAUCUGCACCCCAGAGGACGUGUACGGGAAUGGCCUUCUGGGGCUGGGGUGGCCAGACAUCACCCAGAAGGAGGGAGGCAGAAUAACACAGCUGCAGUCCAAGAGACGGAAAAGCAUCCCGCCCAAGGCCUGUUAGGUCAGAGACGGAGCGAGUACAGCCCCGUCUCCCGAGUUACCGUUCUCUUUCCACCAACUCCUGCUCCACGUGAUUUGGUAAUUUGCCGGGUGAAGGAGGAAAGAUCAUCUGACACCCGCUGCCUCCGCGGUCCUCUCCCUCCCUCCUUCCCCCUCCAGACCUUGGAUCCAGCAAGCCAACACUGGUAGCACCCUCAGCCUGGAGUGUCCUUCCCCGGCUUCCGCGCCGGGGCUCCCCUCGACAGUUGUCUCCUCCAGCAGUGAGCUGUAUACGUCACUGCUCAGCGUACAACCCUCUGACGUGUUCUUGUUUACUGACACGUAUGUAUGUGUAUCUGUGUUUAAUCUCUCUUCUUCCAAUAAAAUGGAAAUAUCAGGA